AUAUGUCAAUUAUAUCCCAAUAAAUUUAAAACAUAAACACCAAAAUUAGAGAAAUGAGCAUGUGUAUGAAGGAGGGAAUGAGGUCUGAGGGGGGACCAGAAGGGGUCUUCAAAGUGCGGCCUGGAGAUUACUGGGGGAGCCUGAAGACACUUUUAAGGGGGUCUCCAUAAAGUCAAAAUAAGUUUCCUAAUAAUGCUAAGGCAUUCUUUGCUUUUCCUGUUCUCACUGUCUCCUGAGUGCACAGUGGAGUUUUCCAGAGACAGCCUGGUGUGAGAUACAGCAAUAGGUUAAGAGCAGACGCAAAUACAAGCACGCAGCUGUCUUCCGUUAAACUGCACAUUAAAGAGGUUGAUAAAAAUGUCCAGCAAUGCCAUUCUUCUCACCAAUUCUUUUGAUUAUGGAAGUUAUUUUUUAUACAACUGUACUAUUUAUGUUAACAUGUAAAGGGUUUAUUAAAAAUUUUAAGGUUUCUUCAUUUUAAUUGCUAAUAUGUUAAACGUCAAUGGAUAUAACCCACAUAAACAAAGGCUCUUUGUUGUCCUCAGUAAUCUUUAAGAGCGUGAAUGGUUCUGAGCAGAAAAUAGUAAGACAAAUCAGCAGAGUCCGUGGAGGGAGGCUUGGUUUAGAGUUGCUCUGAGCUUUUCUUCUCUGUUUAUAAUGCCCGAGUCUGAAGUGGGCCAAACGAGAGUGUGAUUCUAGCGGUUCUCAACCUUGACAUCAAAAUCAAUUUAGGGGACUAAAAUAAACACAGAUUUCCAGGCCUCUGUCCCCAGGUAUUUGUUUGCUGAAGUCUGAGAGGAGAGCCGAGAAUCUGUAUUUUUAAAAAGUGCCUCAGGUGUUUCUUCGCACAACAUGCCAAAAGGAGCAGAGAAAAGACGCUAUUUAAUUACAAAGAGGUCAGCUGCUGCUGCUGAGAACCAACGAAGGGCCUGGCUCUGGCCCAGCUGCUGGCGCUCUUCUGGCAGCUCUGUGGGGUGAACUGGAGGGCGUGUGAGGCUGUUUGUUUAGGUUCUCCGGGCACAUCCCCAAACCCAGGAGCCUGCCAGAGAUGAGAAUUAGAAAAGAUGAGAUGCUGCAAACACAGCUCUGCUUCCUCAGCAUUGGCUCUCAUCCUGGAAGUAUAUCCUCUUACGGGUUCAAAAUGUCUGCUAGCACAUAAUGGGGCCACAUGCUCGCAUUCAAGCCCUGCAGGGAAGAAGACUGGAUCUCCACAUGCCUGUCUUGGCUUCUGUUGUCACGUCUCCUCUGAUUCUGAUCCUCCUGCUUCCCUCGUGACUACGUGGACCCACCUGGAUAAUUCAGGACAAUCUCUCCAUCUCAAGGUCCUUAACUUAAUUACACCUACAAAGUUCCUUUCGGCAGGUAACCACUUCUCCUUCACUAUUAAUCUAUUUGCUUUGGGUGGAGUUGACCGCACAGGUAGCAUUUAACUCCAGCCUGGCUGACCAGAGAUUUGUGUUGCCCUGUCAGAGCCAAUGGGACAUGAGGAGUCAUUUCUGGGAAUGUUGGUAGAGAAGCACACUUUCCUUUGUGUUGAAUUCGAUACUCAGAGGUUUUGUUCUGGAAAAGACGGCGGCUGCUUUCACCAAGUGGAGCCCUGAGAAUGAAGCCAACGUGUCGAGAGCAGAGCCAGGAGAUGGAGGCUGUUUUGUGAGCCACUGCAUUUCCUUUUCUGCUUAAACCAGUUCAGGGUUUAUUUUGUGAUUUGUGUAUAUCUCUGUGUGUGUGUGUGUGUGUAUGUGUAUCUGUAUGUGUAAUAAAAAUAUUUCUAACUGAUAUGGUGGCAGUGGAUGAAAAAAGGAGGCUUAGCUA
ensembl:lncRNA